UUCUCCUGAGCUUCAAAAAUUAAUGGGGUGUAUGUGUGUUUGUGUGUGUGUGUGUGUGUGUGUAAUUUUGUUUUCUCAUAGCUUUUCCACUAAAUACCUUCUACUUCCGUUUUUCUUUUGUUUUCCUUUCCUAUAGUGACAUCAACAGAAAAUUAUAAGAUUAAUUAAAUAAAAUACGAGUUUCUAUAGGGAUAAUUUAAUUCCCUGUAUUAUAAUCAUUAAAAUUUUAUGGAUGCCUAAUAUGGCUUACUGUUUUGUUUUCACCUUGUUAGUUUUUUUAAUUGUGUGUUUAUUUUAUUAAAAUAUAUUUUUCUUAUUUUCAAAGGUAAAAAGAUGGCCUAUCAGAAGAUCAAUGCAGAUCAAAGAGCUCCAGGACACUCACAGUACUUAGACAAUGAUGACCUUCAAACCACUGCCCUUGACUUAGAGUGGGACAUGGAGAAGGAACUAGAGGAGUCUGGUUUUGACCAAUUCCAGCUAGACAGUGCUGAGAGUCAGAACCUAGGGCAUUCAGAGACUAUAGAUCUCAAUCUUGAUUCCAUUCAACCAGCAACUUCACCCAAAGGAAGGUUCCGGAGACUUCAAGAAGAAUCUGACUACAUUACCCAUUAUACACGAUCUGCACCAAAGAACAAUCGCUGCAACUUUUGUCACCUCUUAAAAAUACUUUGCAUAGCCACCAUUUUAUUUAUUUUUGGGAUUUUGAUAGGUUAUUAUGUACAUACAAAUUGCCCUUCAGAUACUCCAUCUUCAGGAACAGUUGAUCCUCAGUUAUACCAAGAGAUUCUCAAGACAAUCCAGGCAGAAGAUAUUAAGAAGUCUUUCAGAAAUUUGGUACAACUGUAUAAAAGUGAAGAUGACAUGGAAAUUUCAAAGAAGAUUCAGACUCAGUGGACCUCUUUGGGCCUAGAAGAUGUACAGUUUGUAAAUUACUCUGUGCUGCUUAAUCUGCCAGACCCUUCUCCCAGCACUGUGACUCUGAGCAGCAGUGGUCAAUGCUUUCAUCCUAAUGGCCAGCCUUGCAGUGAAGAAGCCAGAAAAGAUAGCAACCAAGACCUGCUCUAUUCAUAUGCAGCCUAUUCUGCCAAAGGAAUUCUCAAGGCUGAAGUCAUCGAUGUGAGUUAUGGAAUGGCAGAUGAUUUAAAAAGGAUUAGCAAAAUAAAAAAUAUAACAAAUCAGAUCGCACUCCUGAAAUUAGGAAAAUUGCCACUGCUUUAUAAGCUUUCCUUAUUGGAAAAGGCUGGAUUUGGAGGUGUUCUUCUGUAUAUUGAUCCUUGUGAUUUGCCAAAGACUGUGAAUCCUAGCCAUGAUACCUUCAUGGUGACACUGAAUCCGGGAGGAGACCCUUCUACGCCUGGUUACCCAAGUGUUGAUGGAAGUUUUAGGCAAAGCCGAUCAAACCUCACCUCUCUGUUAGUGCAGCCCAUCUCUGCAUCACUCGUUGCAAAACUGAUCUCUUUGCCAAAAGCUAGAACCAAAAAUGAUGCCUGUAGCCUUCUAGAGCUUCCAAAUAAUGAAUAAUGUACUUGCAAAGCAAGAUGACACUCUCCAGCUGCAUUUCCAUAAUAAAUUAACAACAGGCAUGAAGUCUACGAGAAGAAUUGAGAUGUACACCAGU
ensembl:lincRNA